rnacentral:rRNA from 1 species
UACGUAGGGGGGCAAGCGUUGUCCGGAUUUAUUGGGCGUAAAGAGCGUGUAGGCGGCUUGGUAGGUCCGCUGUGAAAACUCGAGGCUCAACCUCGAGAUGUCGGCGGAAACCACUUGGCUAGAGUCCGGAAGAGGAGAGUGGAAUUCCCGGUGUAGCGGUGAAAUGCGCAGAUAUCGGGAAGAACACCUAUGGCGAAGGCAGCUCUCUGGGGACGGUACUGACGCUGAGACGCGAAAGCGUGGGGAGCGAACAGG